UCUUCAGGGCGGGGUGCGAUUCCCCACUGGCGGUAGAGUCCGCGAACUGCUUCGGCAGCCGAACCGGUGAGAUUCCGGUACCAACGGUAUAGUCCGGAUGGAAGAAGAUG
rnacentral:ncRNA from 1 species